rnacentral:misc_RNA from 1 species
AUUCAUUUUAUAGCAUAUCACUCAUUACAUCACCUUGAUUAAUAUGUUCUCUGCUAAGUACACUUCAGUUCUGAACCAUUUGGAGAAAUGGUUAAAUUGCCCAUCUUGUGAGCAUUUACAAAACUAAAAAGUUGAAGACAUUGCCUUUAGCUACACUGCUUUGACAUUCGCAUUUGUACUGUUACUUCCAGGCAAAGUUUCUUCAAUUGAUGAUUCUUCUUCAUCAACAUCAAGAGAAGGUUUCUCUACUUUCUCAUCUAAGACUUCAGAAUCAGAAUCAGAAUUUGUUGGCUCUAAAGAGGGAUCAGCUGUCACAGUAAGUUGUGCAUUUGAUGCAGAAUUAUCGUCUUUCUUCCAGAAAGAAGACAACUUUUCAUCAUCUUCUCUCAUCCUCUCAGCAUAUUUAUUGACAUCAAAAUCAGCCUUAUCAUCUCCGCCAAAUGCAGACUCCACCAGACUCAUGUCAAACAUUUCUUCCAUCAUUUUCUUGCUGUUGGGGUCAUCUGAGUACAUAAAAUGGACUUUGCUCGCAGUCUUUGGGUCCAAAAAAGGCUUUGCUAGCUUCCAAAAUGGUUCAAAUAUUUUGGGUGGAUCAUAUAAAAUAGCUAUUCCCAGUCUUUCAGGAUAAUAGUCUUCCAAAAUAUGAGCUGUUUCUUUUGUCACCUUGAUUGAGAGGUUUGACAGAGUGAAUCCAUGAAAGUCGAUCAACCAAAUCAUCUGUUCCUGGUCUUUUGGGAGAUUUACAACUGCAUUUUCCAGGCAAUAUACUAAAUACUUCAUCUGUCCUUCUAGAGACUUAGUGUUCUGGCAACGAGGUCUCAUGACAAGAACUGGCCUCCCAUGCUUGUCUUUAUAGUUUGACCUAUAAAUUUUGCCUGUUUCUGCUUCACUGGCCACAUCAUCCCAGCGAAUUUCUUCAGGCAUGAAAUCCAGUCUCCACUUCAGGGACGCUUUAAGCAUCUUAGCUGCCUUCUUUACGUUCCAGCUUUGAGCUGCUAAAUAUCUUGAAAUGGAUGCAUCAGAACAGUAAAGGGCCAACUUACCUGAAAGUGGCCCAAUCAACUUUCUCAUCUCAUCAAUCUUGUUCCGUUCUUCUUCCGGUUUCAAAGAAUUCUCCAAGCCAUUUGGCAUGGAUUUUGUUACACUAGUACUCAUAGUUUCAGGGAAUUUCACUGGUGUAAUCAAAAUUAUUCAACCACUGCACGCUGGGUAACUGUAAAUUUGAAGAAUUGGAUAAAGUUGAAGAAAAUCUCCUCAGUUGUCAAGAACCGGACUCCAAUGGGAGAAGAUCAGCUUUUA